GACGAACGCUGGCGGCGUGCCUAAUACAUGCAAGUAGAACGCUGAGGGAGGAGCUUGCUUCUCUGGGUGAGUUGCGAACGGGUGAGUAACGCGUAGGUAACCUGCCUGGUAGCGGGGGAUAACUAUUGGAAACGAUAGCUAAUACCGCAUAAUAGUAGAUGUUGCAUGACAUUUACUUAAAAGGUGCAAUUGCAUCACUACCAGAUGGACCUGCGUUGUAUUAGCUAGUUGGUGGGGUAACGGCUCACCAAGGCGACGAUACAUAGCCGACCUGAGAGGGUGGUCGGCCACACUGGGACUGAGACACGGCCCAGACUCCUACGGGAGGCAGCAGUAGGGAAACUUCGGCAAUGGACGAAAGUCUGACCGAGCAACGCCGCGGGAGGGAAGAAGGUUUUCGGAUCGUAAAGCUCUGUUGUAAGGGAAGAACGAGUGUGAGAGUGGAAAGUUCACACUGUGACGGUAUCUUACCAGAAAGGGACGGCUAACUACGUG
rnacentral:rRNA from 1 species